UCAAGGUUUUUUGGGUAGCUACACUACGGGCCAACCCAUUUCAUAUAAUUGCACAACGGGUUUUUGAGUGCGGUUUUUCUCUCAACGUUUUCUGUGUUCCUUUUUGACCUUUAGUGGUUUUUUGCGCUGUUUUUUUUAUUUCUUCGGUUUUCUUUUGUUUCUUUCUCGGUUUUCUUUUUCUCUUCGUUAUACUUUAGUAUUUCACCGGGUUUCUUCUAUUUCCUUUUUUUUCUCGGUUUUCUAUGUUUCAUAACAUUUUUUUGGUUUUUCACCCUUUUUCAUUUCUUCCUUGCUAUUUUCUGGUUUUUUUCUAUAUUUCUUUUCUUUUUUUAUGUUUCUUUCUCAGUUUCCAUUGGUUUUUGUUUUCUAUCUUUCUUCAUUUUUCAUUGUUUCUCUCUCUCUCGGUUUUUAUUCAUUUUCUUCAUUUUCCUUUUUCUGUAUGGACCAGAACAUUAUUUAUGCACAUGUUUAAUAUCUUUCAAAUACAUGAUUAACAUUAUCUUGAAAAAUUAUUUUAUUUGACGUCUACAUUUUCUAUACACAUUGUAUAUUUUUUGCAUACAUCUGAACAUUUUCUGUAUACACAUUUCACAUUUUGAAAAAACAUGUUUAACAUUUGUUAAAACAUAUAUUUUUUAUAUCUACUUUUACCAUAAACAUUGUAAAAAACAAUUAUACAUCAGGAACAUCUUAUGUAUACACGUUUAAUAUUUUUAAAAUACGUUAAUAAGAUAUUUAAACAAAUACUUUUUGUGUCCAUUUUUUCCAUACACAUUGUAAAUUUUCCGUAUACAUUAGAAGAAUUUUUUGUAUACACAUUCAACAUUUUCCAAAUACAUGAUUAAUUUCUUUGGGAAACUUAUAUUUUGAUAUCUAUAUUUUCCAUACAAAUUGUACAUUUUUCGUAUACAUCGGAGACAGUUUCUCCAUGCACUUUUAACAUUUUCCAAAAACAUAAUUAACAUUUUCAGAACUUAUUUUUUUAUGUCUAUGUUUUCAUGCACAUUAUAAAUUUUUCAUAUACACACGAUUUUUUUCUAUACAUGUUUAAUAUUUGUUUCAAAUGCUUGAUUAUCAUUUUCAAAUGUUUUAUGUGAGAGUGUUUUUCCUAUGAUAGUGUCGGAAAACAUCUCACAUUUUGCGACAGAGGGAGUAUAUAAUUGGAGUAUUUGGGAGUAUAAACCAAAGAAUGAAAAAGGAAAAAGUAAAAAAAAAGAUGUAAAAAUACAAAAAAAUAUCGUUGUGGCCUGCCUCCGGCGUGAUUGGCCGGCCCAGUAUCGGGCUCAUUUAACGCGAGACCGCAUCGCGUCUCGCUAUAAGCAAGACAUAGGUGCGACCUCGACUUAAUUGUAUUUUUCUUGAUCUUAAUCAUAUUGGGCCAUCCUCUAGUUUUUUUAGACUAAUAGGAGGGCAAUGCCCCCACGAUUCCGUUGCAUUAAUGAAGCUAGAGAAUAUGUGAUACGACAUGCAUGGCAUGUUCAGCAAGUCUAUAAGCCGACAAAAGGAAAAUUACCAGGUCUAUGGAAGGUAAAACUAGAAUCGAAAUUCUUCUACGUUUAUUACUUGGGGAGCAAGCUAAAGCUCUUGCAAACAAGAAAAUAUAGGUAAACCCCAUAGCGAGAGAAACAUCACACAAUCAUCAAGCGCAAAACAUCAUUUGUUGGUCAGCAUCCAUCGCCAUCUCGACUGUAUAGGUAUGAUCGAAGUUAGGCCUCUGAGUUUCUUCAUCGGUAGGACUGGGGAUCUAGGUAGCUCCACGGGAGUGACAGGACUGAGCAAAGACAUUUUGUAGGAUGACUUCUCAGGGCUUCUUGGAGGUAAGACUGGAGCAGGCAGAGAACCACCAUCCACAACUUCUCUGAGGUCCAGUUUGGUGUGAAGUACUUGACUAAAAACACUAAAAACACCUUCAGUUUUUUUGUCUAUUACUUCUACCCCCACUAUAAUCUGGAAGGACAUAUGAGGACACAGGAAAUUUUUGUAGAAAAUUCUUCUACUCUCAAGAGAGGAGCCUCUUUCAAUAGUAUCGUCCAUUUUCUUAUUCUCCCCAGAAUCAGCCACCAUGCAUGUACAUAUCAAAUCCAUACAACAUUAUUAAAGACAUCAGAGUUUCAAUGUUUCCAUAUGCUCCAUAAUACACAAGUACAAAUAGAAUGUAAUGUUGUAUGGUUCUUAUAGGCUGGCCAAAACUUGGCAAUGGAGAGAAAAUAUACACCUAGAUCAUCGGAGAAGAACUCUGAAACAGCUCUCCAGAUCUGCUUUGCAACUACACAUCCAAAAAAGAGAUGUUUUAUGGUCUCUUGUUCAGUGUACCAAACAUAUCUAGGUGGUUUCUCAAUACCUCUCUUCUUAGCUAGGUUUAUCUUUAGUCAUAAGUUUAUUGUGAGAAAGCAACCAUAGGAACCAAAUNNNNNNNNNNNNNNNNNNNNNNNNNNNNNNNNNNNNNNNNNNNNNNNNNNNNNNNNNNNNNNNNNNNNNNNNNNNNNNNNNNNNNNNNNNNNNNNNNNNNNNNNNNNNNNNNNNNNNNNNNNNNNNNNNNNNNNNNNNNNNNNNNNNNNNNNNNNNNNNNNNNNNNNNNNAAUAUUUCUAUAUAAAGACCCAGUUGUGUAUUCCGCUUUAGACUUAUACUGCCAGAUCAGAAUAUCUUCACAUCCUCGAAAGUUAGUACCCUUGAUUAUGUGUUCAAGACAAUACCAGAUUUCCUUCUAAUAGUUAAUCUAAUUUCACUCUUGUCCCAUACCUCAGAAAAAGUUGAAGAUUGUCGGUGGCGGAUAAUAUAUAGGGGACAAAAUUGCACAAAUAAGGGAAAGGUACCAAACCAGAUAUUCUCGCAAAACCUGAAUUUUGUUACCAUCUCCAACAACCCAUCUAUAUCCAAACUUUAGUUUUUUAAAUCCCACAUGACCCCUUGCCAAAACCUAGAUGGUUCUAUGUUUUGCAGGCAAAAAUGUUUGGGGAGUUUUUCAAAUAUUUCACAUCAGCUAUGCUCUUCUAGAUCUUACCCUCACCCUUAAGAUAUCAUUUAACCCAGAUAGUAGGCAGAGGUUUACUUCUCUAAUGUUAUGCACCCCAGGCCUCCAUGCUCUUUUUCAUACAAACUAGGUGCCAGUUAACUAGGUGUAACUUCCUGCCCCCCUUAAAAUCACUCCAUAGACAGUCAUCUAGUGGACGGGGCUGUUCUGCUCGCGAGCACAGGAGCGCUCGGUAUCUGGGCGGCUCGUCAUGUUAUCGGGAUGCAUCACGUGGAAUAACUGAGCCAGUCGGCGAUGGUUUUUAAAGCAGAUGACUAGGAAAUACGGUAGACGCGGUGUGGCAUACGCCUCGCUGGUCACGGAGCGCGGAGAUGCCGCCGUGAUGGAAGAAGAGCAGAGUCGUGGCUCGGAACCGUGGUCUUUUCCCGAUCCGUAGAUCAGGAAAUUGGAUUUCCGCUAGGCGGUGGUGCCCCAGGCGUAAAUGGGGAAUGGACCCAAGGCAGAGUUGUCUCCUUCCUCUUGAUGCGCCUGUUGGAUCUCUAUUGACGGCAGCGGCUUCCUGUGCAGAUGAGAGCGGCGCUAAUUGGUAAAACUGGANNNNNNNNNNNNNNNNNNNNNNNNNNNNNNNNNNNNNNNNNNNNNNNNNNNNNNNNNNNNNNNNNNNNNNNNNNNNNNNNNNNNNNNNNNNNNNNNNNNNNNNNNNNNNNNNNNNNNNNNNNNNNNNNNNNNNNNNNNNNNNNNNNNNNNNNNNNNNNNNNNNNNNNNNNNNNNNNNNNNNNNNNNNNNNNNNNNNNNNNNNNNNNNNNNNNNNNNNNNNNNNNNNNNNNNNNNNNNNNNNNNNNNNNNNNNNNNNNNNNNNNNNNNNNNNNNNNNNNNNNNNNNNNNNNNNNNNNNNNNNNNNNNNNNNNNNNNNNNNNNNNNNNNNNNNNCCCGUGCGCAGAUCCUUAGUUCGUAGUACAUGAUUUGUGGAUUUGUGAAAGGGAUCUGUGUCAUGGUCCUACUGGUCUGUGCAGGACCACCAUAAAGGAAGAGGUGAACGACAAGGACCUCCCGACGGAGCCGCACACUACCACGCAUUCGCGGAAGGACCUGAAUAGGUGCCCGCCAUGGCGGCAGCUAGCGCGGAAGUGCAGAUUUGUGCGUGGAGUGGCGGCCGAGAUGGAUGUUGCAUCGCUGGCAUGUGAACAAUCAAUUGAUCAGAUUGGCCCAAAAUCUCCAAUCUGAACUCAAGGUAAUCCAUUGGCCAAUUGUGUUUGGAUUGCAGACUAAUUAUGUGAUUUUAGGUGUAAUUGGAAAUUCGUGAAUUCACUUAGGAUAACAAGAUCCUUCCACGAACUGAUAGGAUGAUUAGAUUUCCAAAAAAGAGAGAUUUGGGUUGUAUAAUUCAGGAUAAUAAGAUCCUAGGAGAAAAUAGAAGAUUUGAAUAUAUUUUAUGGAAACCUGUUUUGCUUUUCUACUACCCACUACCGAAGAUACUACCACGCAUCACAUGACUGAAACUUGAAUAUAUUUUAUGGAAACCUGUGUUGGUUGGUUUUCUGGAUUAUGGGUUCUGAUAUGAUCGAGUAAAAAGCAGAAUUGAAGUGACAAACUUUUUAUUGGAGACUGAAAUCAUAAGCCAACAAAUUCUAGCGUGGACUAGAAAGUAAUCUCUUGCAUAUCGGUGUUUGGAUUCCACACUCUGUUGUCUGAUUUGGGUGAACUUGGAAAUGCAUAAACUGAUAUGCAGACAAGGUGAUCAAUCUUUGCAAGAGAUUUUAUUUAUAUAUUUUGAAGAAGCAAAAAUCCUAGAGAAAUUAAACUUGCUACAUAGUACUUGUGGGAAUCCUGUGUGAUUUUCUUCCUAACUAGUGCCGGAACUACUAGCACCCAGCAGAUGAUUAAAAUAAAGCAAAACAAAGGCUGGUUAGUUUUUCUGGAUACUGGAUUCUGGUAGACCACAAUUCAGGUGGCGACUUUUAAUUACAGACUUCCGAUGGGCACAUUCAUAGCAGCGUGUAUCUGGUACAUGGAAUAAAUAGGACAAAAGAAGUGCCUAAGCCAAUGAAUGUAUAGAGAAGAAACAUCGUCUGGUUUGUUCUGAAAAUAUUUUAGAUAUAUAUUUUGGAACAAUGAAAUCCUGAGGAAAUUACAAAUGUUAAAUAGAUUUUCUGGGAAACCUUUCCUAACCAGUAAUGAAGAUGCUAGCACCCAUCACAUGAUUAUUAGCAAAAAAACACAUAGCAAUGUGGGUUGUUUUUCUGGAUACUGGGUACCGAUGGGAGCGAGUAAAUAACAUAAUUCAGCUGACUUCUAAUUACAGAAAUUAAACCAUAAACACAAGAAGUCUGGGGUGCCCUAGAAGGUAAUCUCUUGCAUAUGAGUGUUUGGAUUCCACACUGUCUGUCUGAUUUAGGUGAAAAGAGGAAUCAAAGGACAUAGAAAGUGCUGAAACCGUUGAAUGUGUAUAGGAAAGAUCAUUGUUUGUUUUGUUUACAGAAAUCAUGUUGAGAUGGAUUACUUUGUUUAUGAAACGCAGGGUGAGAAUUGGAGCAACUGCUCCAGGAAGGACGCCUUGCCCUGGGCGGCCCAGUGCCGUUGGGAAAGCAAUAUGUGGAUUCGCUGAUAAACCGGGUGAAAAUAUAAUCGUGCCGGCCCUUGGUAGAAGCUUUGAUGCACUCGGCGAGGCCUAUGAUUUUUACAACCUCUUCUUGUGGGAGAAUGGGUAUGGAAUAAGGUACGGCAAGAGUAGACUAAAUGUGGAGAGGACAAAAUGCAUGCAGGGAAUUGUUUGUGGUUGUGCGGUAUGCAUUUGUAACUUAUGUGGUCUAAUUUCUAUUAAUCUGUUUGCUACUGGGUUUUGAUUAAACAUGGCACAUGGUGCUUGUUUGAAUAUGGUUUUGCAGGGAAAAGUUGGGGUUGAGAACACUAGAUCGUGCCGAUGUGAAAGCCAUGCACUAAUAAGACUAUUCCGAUCAAAGGACAAUGGCUCGUACAUUGCUGAGCAUCGUGAGCAUCACAACCACUCGCUGUCUGCAACAUAUGGGCAGAUAAUACACUGGCCUUCUCACAAGCACAUUGACAUUUACAACAGAGAUUUGGUUGAGCAAUUGCGGCAGAACAAUGUGAACCUAGCCAAAGUACACAACAUUAUCGGAAGUUUUUUGGCUUAAUGGAUAAGUUAUCUUGAGAAAAAGAGCUCUAAAGAAUUUGUGUGGUAAAAUCAGCAGAGAGCAAGCAAAAGAUGAUGUGAGGAAAACUAUGGAGGUUUUUGUUGAGCGGUUCGAGAGAUCCACACUUCACUUAUCAGGUGCAAGCGGACAAAGACGGGCGGGUAACAAAUUUGAUGUGGGAAAAUGGGAGGAGCAGGUUGUAGUACACGUUUUUUGGAGAUGUUACCAUCGAUACAACAUAUAGAACGGACGUGCACAACAUGCCAUUUGGUCUAUUUGUCGGUGUGAAUAAUCUUUUUCAGAGUAUCAUCCUGGCUGGGGUGUUGGUGCGUGAGGAAAAUGUGGAGAUAUUUGAGUGGGUUUUCACAGAGUUCAUUACGAUGAUGGGAGGGAGUGCACCCAAAAACAAUUCUAACAGGUCUGAAUCCAAAUGAUACAACCCAAUUGCGUGACGUCGAUCUGGAAGUGUGUUUGUACAACAUGGAUAUCUAAUAUGAUUUGUCUUGUUGUGCAUAUCAAAACCGCGCUAUGGAGGUUGCCAUAAAGAAUGUGAUGCCUCGGAAAGCCCAUCGUUGGUGCAAGUAGCACAUGCUAAAAAAGGCAAAGGAAGCACUCGGUUCAUUGUACACCAAGAAGAGCGAGUUUAGGGCAAAUUUCCAGAAGCUAGUGAAUCACAUGCUUACAAUCGAUGAAUUCGAGGAAGCUUGGAAGAUCUUGGUUGAGAAAUACAAUCUGAAGACCCAUUCAUAGAUGACACAACUGCAUGAAAUAAGGCACAAGUGGGCGAAGCCAUAUUUUAAAGGGGUCUUCUAUCCUAAGAGAGCACACAGCGGAGUGAAAGUGCAUACCACAUGCUGAAGACUAUGUUCCAUCGGGUUGUGUGGUGCAUAUGUUUGUCAAGAAGUACAUGAGACUUCAGUUUGAUAGGGAAGUAGAGGAGAACUACGAGGAGAAGCGGGCGCGAAUAGUAAGACUUUUUUGACAUUUGCCAAUAAGUGUGUCAUAGUGAUCUAGUCACUGAUUUCGUUUAUCUACAUUCCAGGGUAGACCGCUGUACAGAGACAAUCUAGAUAUCGAGCGACAUGCUGGUAAGAUAUACGCACGAACUAUGUUCGAGCAGUUUGGGCGUAUACUGUAUGAGUGCGACACAUGCCAAGUGGAAGAACUUGAGAAGGGGAAACUUUAUCUUGCAAUUCAUAGAGAGGUUGCUAGGAGGGAAAAGUGGUGCAGGGUGUCAUAUAAGGUAACUGUACUUGCAGGAGGACAGGAAUUCGACUACGAGUGUGGGCAAUUUGCACACAUGGGAUUCCUAUGCAACCAUGUUUUGAAGGUAUGGUGACUCUGCUUUCAGACAAAGUGCACAUAGUCCAUGCCGAGCUAACUGGGUAAACUAAACUAUGCAGUUGCUGGAUUUCAUUCGCAUAACAGAGAUACCAGAGAAACACAUUGUCAAGCGGUGGACCAAGGAUGCACGUGGCAUACUACCAGCUCACCUGACUCAAUAUUAGAGAGAUAAUGUACAAAAGAAUCCAUUCAGCUUCAGGCAUUUUAACAUGUACAUGCAUGCCAUGGAGUUGCUGCGGAUGGGUGAUGCAAGUGUCGAAGCAUAUGAGAAAUUCAUGUCUCUCACUAAGAACUACAGAAUAGAGAUGCAACCUUUUGCUGAAGUUAGGGAUGGGCUAUGAUUGGAGGAUAGGAUAGCUGAGAAUGGAGAUGUCAUCAAUCAGCUGCCGGUGCAACCGAUAGUUGUUGCUGCAAGCGGAGAAGCAUGUAUUGGGACUUUGAAUGAUGAUGCUAAUUCAGCAAAUGAGAGUGGUAACAGGCUUGCUGGAUUGUUGGCACCAAAGAAGCGAAAAGAGAUGGGGCGCCCAACAACUAGCAGGGAGAAAGCACCAUACAAGGUUCUGCACUAUAUCUCCCCAGCGCUGGCACCAGCAGGGGCACAAGAGGACAACCUGUCCGGAUCGGGGUGAUACCCGAAGCCUGUCCGCAAACCUGCUAGGCGCAAAAAUUGUGGCAUUGCAGGUCACAGGAGAAACAACUGUAGCAGAGUGGGUGAUCUGCGAAUGAACGCCAUGUGAGCAGUGGCUCCCGAAAUUUUGUUUUUAUAUAGCCUUUGAUUAUGUAGAACUAAAUGUGUGUGGCGGUUAUUCCGUUUGUAGAACUCUUGUUUCAUAUUUCCUGCGUGAACGGGCUUGCUCGUAGCAAAAUGGCGAGAUGCCUUGUUUGUGAACAAAAAAGAAACUCAUCUCCAUGAAUGUUUGAACUGAUUUCAUGAUGGCAUGCAUGUGUGCUGACAGGACAGUGUCUUAUUUUCUGAAUUUUUUGACAAUAUGGUCAUGCUCUCUGAAUUUUUUGACACUAUGCUGUUCAAUUCUGAAUUACCCACGGAUAUGAUACUGAACUUGAAUUUUUGACAGUAUCAGCAUGCGUACAGAUUGAUAUACAUAAUGUUAAAUGACCUGCCUUAGAUAUUAUGAAAAUUAGAUUGGCCAUUGCAAAACAUGGUUCCCUGUUUACUGAAUUUUAAAAUUCAGGUAACCUGGCUAUGCUUUGCCUGUUGGGCUGGGUCAUGCAAUUUAAUACUUGACACGUAGCUAUGUGCGGUGUUGACAAGUGCAAGCGUCUGUGAGACAACGCGCCCAGUGCUUCCAUUAGGCCGCCAGUAAAACAACUAGCAGCUGCAUCUCUGAGCAGCAACAAGAGUGAUUGGCAAACGUCAUCGGCGUCGAUUGAUUAUUCUGCAUCUGCGAUGGGCCGCUGUGAGCCUCGCCACCCUAACCGUGACCUCGUCGGCUGCCUGCUGCGGAGCUCAGCUGCCUGACGAUGGGGAGAGGGAACUGGGUAAUUUUUGUACACGGAAAUGCCGAUUCAGAUCAGGACGGUACAUCCGGUUCCAUCUGAUGUAUCCACAAUAAGCAAGCUGCGCCAAAAUUUGCAGACCUGGGGUCUCGCCGCCUCGAGCAAUCCAGGUGAUCACCUGGCAGCCACAGUCAGGGCAUGGGAUGAGCAGCAGCAUCUCGUCGUCGACUGCAUUGGACGCGGAGAUGGACAUGGCGCCAGGUACCUCAAGAUUGGCUGAAGUCGAGAGUCCGGUCCUGGAGAUGAGAUUGAGCGAGAAGGAAGAGGGGAUGAAUGAAUGAAUCGUGAGGAAGAAGAUUGGUUUUUUUUUGAGGGGACGACCAAAUUUAUUCAUCAAAAGCCACAUAAAGUGGGAUACAAUGUUGGUCAUGAGGUUGGUCAAACCAUACAUGACGACCCUGCUGAAGCCUACGAGAAAAUUUUGCUGAAGCAUGUGCUUCAUAAUUAGCAGCACGACUCUCAAAAGUAAAAUUAUAAUUGAAAAGCAAAGACCUAGACGGUAGGCCUGUCGAACGGUGGGUAGCAAUAAGUGAGCAGAGCCGGCGUUGGUCCAGAAUUCGCGCCAUAACGGUCUACGUUGCUGCACGUCUGAGCCCAAGCCCAGGUAACUCACGGUGUACCAAGCCCUUUAUGACAGAUGAGGGCCAGUGAAACUGUUCAUUUAACCUGAUACGGGAAUAAUACAUGGGCCUAUAGUAGACAGAUUGCAGAUCGCGAGGAGUGCGGGCGGAGGGGAUACCGCGAGCACCUGUGCUCGCGCUCAAAACAUCACUUUCGGUCAUCUAGUUUGCUAUUCAUAAAAUCUAAAUCCCGUUUGAGAAAUUUGAAGAAGGAUAAUAUGUAGGGAUACUAGAUAGACAUGCUUUGAUUAGAGUUAAUCUGGCAGAGUAGUAAAAUAAUUUUCCCCUCCAGCUAGUCAUCCUCUUAAGGAUUUUGUCUAUCAAAGGCUCAAUGUCCCCUCUUCUAAACUUAUCAUAAUGGGGAGGAAUUCAUAGCUAUUUAAUGGGGAAAUCACCUACAAUGCAGCCCAUGAGUAAAGCAAAAAUACUAGUCUCCUCACGAGACAGUCCUAUAGGGAUGACAUCACUUUGGGAGUAGUUUAUCCUCAUCCCAGAAACAGAGCUAGUGUGUGUGUGCGUGUGUUCAUAUGGGUUAGUGUAAGUGCGUAUGUGUAAGCGUCUGCGCUAUAUUGUGUUAAAAAAUGUUCAUGGAAUUCGUAUAUGACGAUGUCGCGACUUGCAAGAAUCAGGUAGUAUCUUUCUGAACUAUUCUUGUUCAAAGCAUCAUAUUAUACUCUUCUUUUGUGAGUUUUAUGUUUUAGAUUCUCAUCAAGGAUUUUAAUGAAGAUAUUUUUGGAGGGGGCUUUUCAAGAUGAUAAUGUUAUCUGGACAACAUUUCAAGAUGAUGAUACUAUCUGGAUAUGGUAGAUUGGGGAAGUGUUAGAAUUUAGUUAAGUAGGUAUAAUUAAAGAGGAAUCUACCCUUAUCCUAGCCGACGUGCGGUUACAUUCCAAAGGCUGGUCAUAGUGGGGGUAACUUAGAUAGUAACAUAACAUAUCUUAAGACAAGUUUGCUUAUGUGACAUGUAGUUAAUAAGGAGAGAUGUGUUUGUGGUAACAUAAUGCACCCCAAGGCAAAAUGAGUCUAGAUCUAAAUAAAUGAAGACUUGCAUUAUACCACACAUACUCCCUCCAUCUGCUAAAGACUACACAUCUAGGAUUCACAAAUUGCAAGUGUCAAUCUACACUCCCAAUAGACAUUGCCUUUAGUCCAGUCCUCAAUUGACCCAUGCAGCAACAUAUGAUCUAGUUAUUGGUUGCUUACUCAGGCUGGUCAUAGUGGAGAGUAACUUAUACUAAUGUCAUGCAUAUGACAUUAGUCUAAGUUACUACCUCCAUAGUGCAAAGUAACAUAGUAGUAGUGUCACAGUUGUCUUCAUCUAUUAGCUUGUAGACUCAUCUUCUCUUGGGAAGCGUCAUGUUACUUUAAAUACAUCUCUCCUCGUUAAAUACAUGCCACAUAAGCAAAUUUACCUUGGACUGCGCUAUGCUAGUAGCUAAGUUAGAGCAUCUCCAAUAGAUGGUCCAAAUUUUGGCAGUCCGAACAGGUGAUGGUCCAAGUUUGGAGCACCAAAAAGUGUGUUUUACAUCUCCGAAAAGGCUCAACUCCAACAGAUGGUCCAAAACGGAGAUGUGAAAAAAAAGCAACUCCAACAGAUGGUCCAAAAUAAAGAUGCAAAACCGGCCGGCAGCCGCGCGGCUGCUGUUCAGCCACAGUACAACCACGGUUUUGCGUUCAAAUAUCACUUCAAAUUUGAAAUAAAGUGCAUCAUCAUCAUAGUUCAAAUCAUAACAAAAGUGCAUCAUCAUCAUCCCAAUCAAAGUUUGAAAUCCGUCUACCAAAAGUGCAACGUCCCAAUCAAAGUUUUUUGUCCUACAAAUUAAAAUACACAUGAAUAUCAUUCAUGUGGAUCGUCAACACCACCGGCAUUCUGAACCGUGGUACGAUCAUCAUCAUCAUCGCCUUCUUUGUCGGCGUUGUGAAGCGGUGAAGUAUCAUUGCCGAGAGAACGACCGGAAGCACCUUCAUUGCCUCCCAUGUCACUCAUGUUGCCACCCAUCGUGUUGCCGCCAAAGCCACCUCCCAUGCCGGUCAUGUUGCCUCCGAAGCCGCCCAUCGUGUUGCCGCCAAAGGCACCUCCCAUGCCGGUCAUGUUGCCUCCGAAGCCGGCUCCCAUGCCACCAAAGCCACCUUCCAUGUUGCCACCGAAGCCACCUCCCAUCAUGUUCAUGUAGCCACCCAUGGCAGCUCCCAUGCCUCCUCCAUGGCACCUCCCAUGGCACCUCCCAUGCCUCCUCCAAUGGCACCUCCCAUGGCACCUCCCAUGCCUCCUCCCAUCAUUAUUUGCCUCAUGAGCAUUUGCUUCUUCAUGAGCAUUUCAUGGCGACAAAGUUCAACAUAGGCCUUUGCCUUGGGACCAAGACUAGAUAUGUCCAUGAACAUAAACUUGAGUGCCUUCUCCUCGACCAUCUUCAUCUCCUCAGCCGCGGCCUUUUUCUCCUCUAGUUCCACCUUCCUCUCCUCGUCCGCCGCCAACCUCUCCUCGGCCGCCGCCCUUUUCUCUUCGGCCGCCGCCCUCCGCCACUCGGCCUCACUCCUCUCAUCUAUUUCCUUGAGUUUCAACAUUUUUUUUUCUUCGGCGUACUCUUUCCUCGCCGUGACAAUGGCAUCAAAUCCUUCCUUGAGAUCAUUGUCUCUGGCCUUGGUUCCCUUCACUUUCUUUUUCCCAUCGGGCCUAUAUGAUUUUGUCGCGGAGUUAGGAGUGGGGCUCCUAUCCUCACCGGCAUCAUCUUCUUCAUCCUCAAUCACCACACUCUUCUUCUUCGAAGCAUCAAAAGUUUCUCUAGUUUUCCACCUCUCCUCAUCCUUGAGCUCUUUGAAGCAAUGAUGAAAAGUGAAAGCUUUUCCUUUCCUUUUCUUCUUCUCGCCUUUCAUGUUCCGCUCUCGAAACAAUCCUUGGGCAAUCAUUUUCUACAAUAAAACAACCAACACGUCAUCAUCAAAAUGUGGAACAAUCUAAUAUUUGGAAAAACACGCACGGACAGGAAAUAUUUACCAAAUCACUAUCACCGCAACCACUUGAGUUCAUGCGAGCAACAUUUGACAAGCAACCGGCCCACUUUUGGCAUUCGGCGUUGAUGGUGGACCAACGUUGGCGAAUAGAGUCGCUCGAACCGAAGUGACCACUUGUGUUGUGCUCAUCGAAGUAAUCCUUGAUGCGUUACCAAUAGGUGUUAACCGUUUGGUCACUUCCAACGGAUGCAUCUUGAGAGACUUUCUUCCAUGCGGUGCAUAUCAACACAUCCUCCGCAUUGGUAUAAUUUCCACUUCUUCCCUUCGCAACAAAGCCCUCAUCGUCCAUGUCAAGAUUGUCAUCACCAUAUUGGGUUUCAUAUUCUUGUGACACAUACUCGUGCGACACAAAAUCAUCAUUUGCCACAUUUGUCGCAUGCAAAAAAAGCUUCGUCAUCAAGACUACAAUUGAACGUACAAACAUUCAACAUCACUUCAAUUUGAAACCACAAACAAAAGCACAAAAUAAUUGUUUUUACCUUUGCGACAUUUCAUCGAACAUGUUGGAGGCGGUGGCCGUCGGCGUGGCCAAAUCUUCCUCCACGGUCGGCGGUGGCGGCGGCGGAGGUGGAGGAAAGGCCGCAGCCGAGGCUCCUUGGCUGCUGGAGGACGUGGCCGGCCCUAGCUGCGAGUCGUCGGCCCGAGCCCCCGCGGCUUCCUUCGAGUUUUUGGCCGGCCGCGCCGCAGUUUCGGCCGGGUUCCGGCCACGAUUAGCCGCCCGUUUUCGUACCUUCGGCGCCUUCGCAGGAACGGCCGGCGCGGGGGCGACAGGCCGGGGUGGCGCGAGUCUGGGGUGGCGGCGUGGACGCGGCGGCGGAGGGUGAGUUCGCCGCGGCGGCAGCGGCGGCGGCGACGUGGGUCAGCCCACCGGCUGCGGCGGCGGCGGAGAAGGCGGCGGGGUCGUCGGCUUCGGCCAUGGCGGCAGCGGAAGGCGGACGGGCGGUCGCGAGGCGGAAGGCGAAUGAAGUGGCGGUUGGGCGUUUGGCGGGCGGCCGUGGUUUUGGACCAGUUGCAUCUCGUGAUGUAAAUUUGCAUCACAAAGUUUUCAUUUUUACAUCACCGGGAGGCCGCGGUCCAAUUUUUUUCCAUAUGGAACGUCUGUUGGAGCAACGUUUUUUGCUCCAGACGGUCCAAAAGUUAGAUAUUUUUACAUUUGGACCAUCUAUUGGAGAUGAUAUUACUCCCAUUAUGACUAGCCUCCGUUGAGUCCCUUUUGUAUUUACCUUAACUAGCAGUGUGACCCGCGAAUUUGCGUGGCUAGGUUUGUUAGUUAUUGGUACAUUCAUGAUAUAACCUACAAAAUACUACUUAUGCUAUAGGAUAACUAACUGUAUUUGUAGAAAACCGGAUAAUAAAAUUUCUUAUGGUAUUCUUUUGUAUUCUCAAGCAUUUUUAUGCCCACGCCCUUUGCUGCCAUUCAACUUCAUAAUUCUGUCAUGAAGUGUAUUCUUAUAUUGGAUUAUUUGUAUUUUUUUCAGUGAGUUAUUAAGACUCGUGUGACCUGCUACUCCCACUUAAUUUGCCACAACAAAAAUGCGGUAAAAUACCAAUCAAAUAUUUAAAUGGUUCGUAAGGACGUUGUUUUCUACAAAGUGGUUGAUGGUCUUUUGGGAGUCAUGCAAAAUCAUAAAAUUCUAAACUAAUUUAGACCCUCUAUUGCACUCCACAAUAUUUAGUGUCAACCUAUUCAGCAAUAUAUAUUUUUCUGAGAAGUUUUCGACCAAUAGUCAAAUCAAAAUUGGCGACUCAUACUUAAACUUUUAAUUUGCUUCUUCCUUUUCCUCUGGACAUAAUGCAUUAGGUUUUUAUAUUUGUGCAAGGUCAUGCAUGUACACGCUUUAAUGCGUCUAUAUUGAACUUGAAGUUGCAUCUAACACUUGUCCACCUAAAGCAUAUACCACCAUAAUUGUUAAAACAUUUUGCUCUUCCUUACUCUCAACAUAACUUGUUCUUUCUAAUUACAUCCUUGCUGACAAUAAUGUUGGGCUUCCUACAUACAAUAUGAUCAUUUGCAUAGAUGGCAUUUGUGCGGCUAGUAUUCCAUAAUGUUUCCAUUUCAAUUUAGUUCUCCCUUGCUUCUAACAUUUUUUCUAUUUUAUUCGUCCCUAUUCACCCGAGAAAACAUGUUUCUUGGUCCCUACUAUCUUUCAAAAUCAAUUCUUAUUGUGGCACUAACAUACAUCCAGGAUUCAAAAUCAUUCUUAAGUACGUCCAUGACCCAAGUGAAGAUGCUACUAAUUAAACGCCUUCAUGACAUAAGUCUAAGUGGUUCAUUACGGUCUCCUAGUAAAGCUGCUAUAUGUACCCCUCUGAUCAUCCGCUCAAUCCAUGUAACGGCCCUGACCCUGCCUUUGAGACAUGAUCCUGUACUAAGUAGACACUGUAUAUUGACUUCGGCUUAUGACCUCAGCAGCACCAUGAUCAUCGUUAAUUAGUGUAUUCAACGAAUCUAUAUAAUAUAGCUAAUCUCUUAACAUCUCAGCUUUAUCUUUCAGUUUCUAUAUGCAUAUACAACACAUAUUUUCUCUUACUUUUAGAAUAUAAAAAUACUUGUGCACUUAACAUACACAUCCAUGUGCUAAUAUUUAUUUAGAGUGUAUUUUGUAGUUGAGAUAAUCAGAGAAACAUAGUUGUAGAUGCAUUUAUCAAACAAAUCCUACUGCUUCUUUGUAGAAACAGUUUAAAGCUCGUAUGCUAGUGCGGAUUUUCUCAGAGAGUUACUUUUUGAGCACCAAAUAAAAGUCUUGUUUAAUUUUAAUCUGUACAACCAAUUACAUCCAUUGACACGUUAUAAUAUGGACUCGCACCACAGUUAACCAUCGAGACAUUCUUGCCUCGCGCAAUCCCAAGUACUAUUGCAAAAAGUUGGUCCAUAGACAUAUGACAGCACCACGUUUGAAUAAUUAAUAAUUGCUACAAAUAGGAAUUUUGGAGGAUUUGUAUCCCGAGGAUUUUUUUUUCACGAAGGCUCUUUGGGUCAUAGGAUUAGGCUUGCCAGCUUUCUAUGGGGUCUAUUCCUUCGCCAUCGAUUCCAUAAGAAUCUUGACAUCAACCAAAAUGUCAUGUUUAUUUUCCCUUACAGAUGUGGAGUGCACACAGGCCCACCUUCUCUAUUCUCUCCGCCGGCCCUGCAAAAUUCAUGUGCAUUGUUCAUAACAUCUCUUGUACAAAACCUAUGCAUUAUCAAAUUGUAUUGGAAUUCACAUUACGUGUGGCAUCAAUUUUGCGCAUUACAUAUUGCUACCUUUUCUGAUUCUCAAUAUCCAUAGAGGGCCAUAUAUGGUCGAUCUUGCAUCCUCAUUGUAAGGCAAAAUAGGAAUGUGUGUUUCUCAUGAAAAGAAUCCUAUAUUCAAAUGUUUAUUUAUUUAUUUUCCAUACAGAGCAUAUUAUUUUGUUUGUUUGUGCCGAAUUUUCUAUUUUGGAUAAAAGAAAAAUAUUCAAGGCUGUAGGUAUCUCUUUUCAUACGGAGAGUACUGGUUUUGAAUGUGCUCACUUAGUUCAUAAGUCUCACGUGGCCUUCAAAGCUAGGUCCACAGUUUUUUUAAGCAGAGUCAGGCUGCUUUACCUUAUGCACAUGCUCUUUAAAAUAUUCGCUACCGUUCCUCAACAGAAAAACAAAUUGGCUACCGGCCGCUCGAUGGCGUUGCCUCUCGCCGAGUUUGAUUUGAAGUCGUGCAGGGUGCAGACUUGUACUAUAUCUUACUUGCAUGUAGACACGUGAUGGGCUGUGACUCAAUUUUUCCUAAUCAAUACACGUGUUAUUUCCUUUCCAGCCAAGUACAUACAUUAUUUAUCCCUCAAAAAAAAAGUACAUACAUUAUUUUUUAUGGAGACGGACACACACGAUUUGGUAAUACAUAUCUGAACCGAUGCUUUAUGUUGUCCAUAUAGAUGUAGACGUGUCAGUACUUGUUCAAUAUGCUCACACAUAUAUAUUUACAUGUUACGUAUAAACUUUAAAGUCUAAGCCAUUGUUAUUUUGAUCAAACGGUCAUAAUAAUAUUAGCGUAUGUGGGUAAAUGUGAUGGCUUGUUUGACUCUUGUUUUAAUUAUAUAAUAGAUUACUGCAUGCAAGCUACAGUUAUUUAAUGGCCUUCUUUCAAUAGUUGCAUGCACGCAUGUGUCUACUUUUUUAGGCUAAUUAGGCCAUUGAGCAAACUCAGCUCUUUUUUUUAGGGUAAGUCAUCUAUUUUCUUGAUCUAUGUGGAAAUUUCCAAACGUGAAACAUACGGUUUUUUGCAAACGGAGGGAGUAUUUACUAACAAAAACUAGUAACACAUGCAUGUUACUAAUCUAAAUUACUUCUCGCUAUAACCAACCUAAAGAGACGCAGUGUCUCUUGACUAGGAACUGAUGUCUUAUUAUAUCGUCACAUCUGUUCUAGACAUACUCCCUCUCUCUCACUUUAUAGGGCGUGCGCGUAUCCCUAGGUUGUUAAUUUGACCAACCUAAUAUAAGUCGUAUAUUAUAAAAAAAAUAUACCAAUAUAAACUUCAGAUGUUCUAUUUUCAAACGGUAUAAUUUUUGUGUUAUAUAGAUUAUAUUAGGUAAUAAAAUUGGCAACCUAGGUAUACGCUCAGGACUUGUACAAACUGAAACAGAGGGGGUAUUGUACACCCUCUGUAUUAAAUUGUCGACAUUUCUUGACACUACAUUAUGAAACAUAGAGGCGUAAUAUUUUCCAUACAAGAGUUCAUUUGCCAUUCACAUAUAUUGCUUUUGCCUUGGAACAGAACGGACCCGUGACAUGCAUCGGCCUCGGACGAGCAUGCGAGAUGACAAGUGUCGAUAGCUCCCGAUGCCGCCGCGCGCUUCCUCCAACCGGUGCGAGGCACCAUUUUUCCUCAGACUAUCCAUAGUGGGAGUAACAUAGGUAGUAACAUCACACAUAUCUAGAUAGAAUAGAUGAUGUGGCAAGCAAUAAAUGAAGAAAGAGAGGCAUGUGGUAACAUAGCUAGUUACUACUAGUAUGAGUAACAUCACACAUAUCAAUGCAAAAUGAGUCUAUAGCCUAAUAAAUGAAGUGUUGCAUGUUACCACACAUAUGUUACUCCCCACUAUAGAGGUAGUAACAUAGAGUAGUAACAUGCACAUGUUACUACUUUAUGUUACUACCCAUUGUGGCUAGUCUCAAACGCGCCCACGAAUUGCAGUACGCAUGCCUGCGUGCGGGUCUCCGGCUGCCAUCCUUCCCGAGGAAAGCCCUAUUGGCGCACGGCGCGGCGCGGUACAGAACGUCAGAACACAAUUGAACCAAAGCUCAUCCACACCCCCUGGCUUGCAUAGUCUACGCAUCCAACAUCAAGCGAUCCAGUAUAUAGCAUGUGCUUAUCACUGAAACUUGUCUCUGCUUGUGAACUUGAAACUUUUUCAGUAGAAUUCAUGUUCGACAGAAAAUAUUAUCGGUAAUUAAAACUAGCUAUGAUUAAAACCAAAAAAGCACUAAACGGAGAAUCGUGUUGACACCAAGGACACUCAGCAAUUAAAUCGAGGAAACCAGUACUAGGAUUCCCCUCAAACACCUCCGUCUUUAUAAACCCCCACCCAGCUCGCCUGUCUCGCCAAGAAGUACUCCCUUCUCCCACUCGAACUGUAGCCAGGCCACAUCAUCCAAGGAAGAGACAAACCAAGCCAAGAUGGAGGCGCUGAAGCAGAAGGCCAAGACCACGCGCGUGUGCGCGCUGGGAGCCGUGGCGGCGAUCGCAGGCGUCCUGGACGCCUGCUUCUGGCCAGCCGGUGCGGCCGCCGGCACAGUCGGAUUCGUCACCCCCCGCGAGGAGUUGCUCGCCAAUCCGCAGCUCUACCUCCUGAUCCUGCGCGCUGCCGGAGCCAAGGCAGCGGCCGUCGCCUUCGCUUAGUAGGGAGGCGCAUCACAUGCAUGCGCAUGCAUGCAUGUCCCUUCCGUCUACUGAAGUUAGUGUUGUUUUUGUCUACUCAAAAUUUUCGGUUUGUUGACUUAUCUUAUGGAGUAUUACCAGUGUACUAGAUCUGUUGAUCUGCCUCUAGCUAGUCACUUCCGUCGACCUACAGAAGUUCAAUGUUAUCUCCUAAGAAGAUGUGUGUAUCAUGUUUUUUUGUGUGUGUGUGUGUCAAGUUAUCUUAGUGUGCUCUAUUGAUUUGCAUGUGGUCUAUGAUCUAUAUCAUUCCAAAAAUCUCAAGAUCGAAGAUGGAUACUAGUGUUUGCGUGCAGCAGAUUUGAGGGGCCUGGAACUCCUCCAGUCGAAAAACAAACGUUACGAAAAUGUACCUCUACGCACCGAUAUGUGGGCCAGAUGAUCUACUACUAGGGUUCUUUGUAAUAACUUGACUGCUAAAGAAUAGUAGGUCGGAAGUUUUAUUAAUAAAAAAAGUUGCGUAUCCAACUACUUGCACGUAAUAGCACACAGAACAUCGACCAACGCGUGCACAGCACGACGGGCAUACGUGGCUCGAGCGAGCGAGCCUGGCUCGUCAAAAAUGGCCGAUUCGGCCGUUCCCUUGCAUAUGCAGUCUCAGAGUGUUCUAAGUGUCAUGCGAGCGAGAAACAAUGGAUGCAGUCCAAACAACCAAACAAAUUGUUUUUGUGUCGCACGGCCGGACCGAGAAGCAGAUGCAGCCCAACCAACGUCCUGAGAAUUAAUACUACAGUGAGCACGAUUCUUUUGGGAGAAAAAGUGGUUUCUAAUUGGGGGUUUUCAAACAACAUCAAUUUAUCCCAGCCAAUCAAGGUGUAUCUUGGUUGAUGAGAUUACAGAUAUAAGCCUUCUAAAAAAAAAAGAGGGAGUAUAUGAUACUAUGAGUUACAUGUGUAGUAUAAUAUCAUACACCAGUAUCCAGGGCCGGUCCUGAGUUUUCGGGGGCCCGUAGCAAAACUAGAAUCCGAGGCCCCCUAAAUAUAAACAUCAAUCUAAUGCAAUUUCAACUUUGAAAAUCUUUUCUCUACAUAAACUUUGGUGCAAGUUUUAAGGUUUUUGCUUGUAAAAUCAAACCUCGUAAACUUUGACCAAGUUUAUAUGAAAAAUAUCAACAUUCAAAAUGUGAAAACAAAACAUUAGAUGCGUCAUGACUUUAGUUUUUAUAUUGUAUAAAUUUAGCAUUGUAGAUGUUAAUAUUUUUCCAUAUAAAUACGGUCAAACUUUACGAAGUUUGACUUCAAACAAUUCUUAUAUGCAGAGUAAAAAGGACCGGAGGGAGUACAUUAUAGUACAAACAAAAUAUACAAUAGGGACCAUUGAUGUUUUCUUUUAGAAAAAUGGUAUGAGCACUGCCAGCACUUUGAUCUGUAAGAUGACAACAUUAACAUUGUUUUUCUCUUUAUUGCGGUCCUAAUUAAUAAUACAACAAAAUUAACCACACCAAUGUCCUAGGAUUUAAUUACAUAGCGUAUUUUGGGCUAUGUUUUUGUAUUUCGUUUAUUGCUUUCCUCAAACUGAAAGUAAUUUCACGUUGCAAGAACAGGCAAACACUAUCUACCGUCAACCAAUAUAGUUCGGUCAAGAAGCAGAAAAGUAAAAUCUACAAAACUUUUCUUAUAUCAAGAAUUUUACAUGGUAAUAUCUAUUUACCUGGAUGGGACAGAAUAGAUGUAGGGCUCAUCCCCAAAUCGAGCCCUCAAGCCAUCCACGGAUUUCUCCCGGUGCUCCAAGGACUGUAUGACAACACUCAAGACGACCAAUGCUUUCGCCUGUUCGGCUUGAACAUACAUGGUCUACGAGCUAUGGUCUCGCAACAGUCGUACGCCGCCCCUGAAGACUUGCAUCUCGCCAAGGUAGUGGAUGGGCACGGCAAGGUCGCUCAAGACCUGCACGCGGUGUACUCUUUCGGCCCGCCGGAGGGAGCCAUGGAGUUGCCGUACCCGCAUAUCUCGAUGUAUGGCGCCCAAUGGGCCGAUGAUCAACAGCUGCCGAUGAAGGAAAAUCCGGAAGACGGUGGCUCGCAAUGGAAAUCAUGUAAUCAAGCGUCCUCGUUACAGGCAGAGUUCUCGCUGUGAAUUACGACCUUCGUUGGGCCUUUUGAUGGAGAUCGUGGAAUCAAUAACACGGCUAGUGCGUAGUUGCGUACUACUCCCUCCGAUCUUUUUUUUCUCUGCGCGUAAGCAGCAACACGGAUAGCAAGGAGGACCUGGUUGUAUCUAUUUUGGACUAAUUUGCCCCUGUGCAUGCCCGGACAGAGGGGGACUAAUUUACUUGCUGCAUGCUAUGGGAUUGGGUGAGCGCUUCGGUCUCGUUUUCUCUUCCCCAGGUGCAGGCCAUGGGCCCAUUUGCAUACGGCAGACGCGGGGUACGAUUGAAAACCAGUGCGAGAUUGAAAACCAGUGUGAGAAAAAGGCAACGCGGAGACUAAUUAGAGAAAAACGGAGAAAAGUUAUAUGCAGAGAAUUAAAACGGAGGGAGUACUACUAUAGGCAAGCAAACUUGGGGCCCCCUCAGUUUCGGGAGNNNNNNNNNNNNNNNNNNNNNNNNNNNNNNNNNNNNNNNNNNNNNNNNNNNNNNNNNNNNNNNNNNNNNNNNNNNNNNNNNNNNNNNNNNNNNNNNNNNNNNNNNNNNNNNNNNNNNNNNNNNNNNNNNNNNNNNNNNNNNNNNNNNNNNNNNNNNNNNNNNNNNNNNNNNNNNNNNNNNNNNNNNNNNNNNNNNNNNNNNNNNNNNNNNNNNNNNNNNNNNNNNNNNNNNNNNNNNNNNNNNNNNNNNNNNNNNNNNNNNNNNNNNNNNNNNNNNNNNNNNNNNNNNNNNNNNNNNNNNNNNNNNNNNNNNNNNNNNNNNNNNNNNNNUAUUGUACCUGCUCUAAAACCCGUUGGAUGAAAAUAAUUGUGACAUGAGGACAAACCAUGGCUCGAUGGUUGGGGUUGGCAGUGGCCACCCAGCCCGGCCAAGAUUGAUACUGAGAUCGACGUGGUUGUGUCACCCGGGGUAUUUUCCCUUGUAGGCACCUUACAAGUUUAGGGGCCACAAGGGUAAUUAGAAUCGUAUGGUUUUGAAAGUUUCUCAAGCCAUGAUGUGUGCACGGAUUGUACUCUCUCCAUUUCCUUUUUACUCUGCAUAUAAAAUUGUUUGAAGUCGAGCUAUGUAAGUUUGAUCAAAUUUAUAUAAAAAAAUAUAAACGUCUACAAUACUAAAACUAUAUAAUAUGAAAAUACAUUUAAUCAUGCAUCUGGUAAUAUUGAUUUCAUAUUGUGAAUGUGAUAAUUUUUAAUAUAAAUUAGUCAAACUUUAUAAAGUUUGACUUUGAUCAAAUUUCAUAUACAAACUAAAAAAAAAC
rnacentral:lncRNA from 1 species